rnacentral:rRNA from 1 species
GAUGAACGCUGGCGGCGUGCCUAAUACAUGCAAGUCGAGCGAACAGACGAGGAGCUUGCUCCUCUGACGUUAGCGGCGGACGGGUGAGUAACACGUGGAUAACCUACCUAUAAGACUGGGAUAACUUCGGGAAACCGGAGCUACUACCGGAUAAUAUAUUGAACCGCAUGGUUCAAUAGUGAAAGACGGUUUUGCUGUCACUUAUAGAUGGAUCCGCGCCGCAUUAGCUAGUUGGUAAGGUAACGGCUUACCAAGGCAACGAUGCGUAGCCGACCUGAGAGGGUGAUCGGCCACACUGGAACUGAGACACGGUCCAGACUCCUACGGGAGGCAGCAGUAGGGAAUCUUCCGCAAUGGGCGAAAGCCUGACGGAGCAACGCCGCGUGAGUGAUGAAGGUCUUCGGAUCGUAAAGCUCUGUUAUUAGGGAAGAACAGAUGUGUAAGUAACUAUGCACGUCUUGACGGUACCUAAUCAGAAAGCCACGGCUAACUACGUG